rnacentral:rRNA from 1 species
AUUGAACGCUGGCGGCAGGCCUAACACAUGCAAGUCGAACGAGUGGCGGACGGGUGAGUAAUGUCUGGGAAACUGCCUGAUGGAGGGGGAUAACUACUUGAAACGGUAGCUAAUACCGCAUACCAUCAGAUGUGCCCAGAUGGGUUUAGCUUGUUGGUGGGGUAACGGCGAACCAAGGCGACGAUCCCUAGCUGGUCUGAGAGGAUGACCAGCGACACUGGAACUGAGACACGGACCAGACUCGUACGGGAGGGAGCAGUGGGGAAUAUGGCACAAGGGGCGCAAGCCUGAGGCAGCAAUGCCGCGUGGAUGAAGAAGGCCUUCGGGUGGUAAAGUACGUUCAGCGGGGAGGCGUUACCCGCAGAAGAAGCACCGGCUAACUCCGUGCCAGCGGCCGCGGUAAUUC